rnacentral:rRNA from 1 species
UUAAGCGACUAAGCGUACACGGUGGAUGCCCUGGCAGUCAGAGGCGAUGAAGGACGUGCUAAUCUGCGAUAAGCGUCGGUAAGGUGAUAUGAACCGUUAUAACCGGCGAUUUCCGAAUGGGGAAACCCAGUGUGUUUCGACACACUAUCAUUAACUGAAUCCAUAGGUUAAUGAGGCGAACCGGGGGAACUGAAACAUCUAAGUACCCCGAGGAAAAGAAAUCAACCGAGAUUCCCCCAGUAGCGGCGAGCGAACGGGGAGCAGCCCAGAGCCUGAAUCAGUGUGUGUGUUAGUGGAAGCGUCUGGAAAGGCGCGCGAUACAGGGUGACAGCCCCGUACACAAAAAUGCACAUAUUGUGAGCUCGAUGAGUAGGGCGGGACACGUGGUAUCCUGUCUGAAUAUGGGGGGACCAUCCUCCAAGGCUAAAUACUCCUGACUGACCGAUAGUGAACCAGUACCGUGAGGGAAAGGCGAAAAGAACCCCGGCGAGGGGAGUGAAAAAGAACCUGAAACCGUGUACGUACAAGCAGUGGGAGCACAGAGCAAUCUGUGUGACUGCGUACCUUUUGUAUAAUGGGUCAGCGACUUAUAUUCUGUAGCAAGGUUAACCGAAUAGGGGAGCCGAAGGGAAACCGAGUCUUAACUGGGCGUUAAGUUGCAGGGUAUAGACCCGAAACCCGGUGAUCUAGCCAUGGGCAGGUUGAAGGUUGGGUAACACUAACUGGAGGACCGAACCGACUAAUGUUGAAAAAUUAGCGGAUGACUUGUGGCUGGGGGUGAAAGGCCAAUCAAACCGGGAGAUAGCUGGUUCUCCCCGAAAGCUAUUUAGGUAGCGCCUCGUGAAUUCAUCUCCGGGGGUAGAGCACUGUUUCGGCAAGGGGGUCAUCCCGACUUACCAACCCGAUGCAAACUGCGAAUACCGGAGAAUGUUAUCACGGGAGACACACGGCGGGUGCUAACGUCCGUCGUGAAGAGGGAAACAACCCAGACCGCCAGCUAAGGUCCCAAAGUCAUGGUUAAGUGGGAAACGAUGUGGGAAGGCCCAGACAGCCAGGAUGUUGGCUUAGAAGCAGCCAUCAUUUAAAGAAAGCGUAAUAGCUCACUGGUCGAGUCGGCCUGCGCGGAAGAUGUAACGGGGCUAAACCAUGCACCGAAGCUGCGGCAGCGACACUGUGUGUUGUUGGGUAGGGGAGCGUUCUGUAAGCCUGUGAAGGUGUGCUGUGAGGCAUGCUGGAGGUAUCAGAAGUGCGAAUGCUGACAUAAGUAACGAUAAAGCGGGUGAAAAGCCCGCUCGCCGGAAGACCAAGGGUUCCUGUCCAACGUUAAUCGGGCAGGGUGAGUCGACCCCUAAGGCGAGGCCGAAAGGCGUAGUCGAUGGGAAACAGGUUAAUAUUCCUGUACUUGGUGUUACUGCGAAGGGGGGACGGAGAAGGCUAUGUUGGCCGGGCGACGGUUGUCCCGGUUUAAGCGUGUAGGCUGGUUUUCCAGGCAAAUCCGGAAAAUCAAGGCUGAGGCGUGAUGACGAGGCACUACGGUGCUGAAGCAACAAUGCCCUGCUUCCAGGAAAAGCCUCUAAGCAUCAGGUAACAUCAAAUCGUACCCCAAACCGACACAGGUGGUCAGGUAGAGAAUACCAAGGCGCUUGAGAGAACUCGGGUGAAGGAACUAGGCAAAAUGGUGCCGUAACUUCGGGAGAAGGCACGCUGAUAUGUAGGUGAAGCGACUUGCUCGUGGAGCUGAAAUCAGUCGAAGAUACCAGCUGGCUGCAACUGUUUAUUAAAAACACAGCACUGUGCAAACACGAAAGUGGACGUAUACGGUGUGACGCCUGCCCGGUGCCGGAAGGUUAAUUGAUGGGGUCAGCGCAAGCGAAGCUCUUGAUCGAAGCCCCGGUAAACGGCGGCCGUAACUAUAACGGUCCUAAGGUAGCGAAAUUCCUUGUCGGGUAAGUUCCGACCUGCACGAAUGGCGUAAUGAUGGCCAGGCUGUCUCCACCCGAGACUCAGUGAAAUUGAACUCGCUGUGAAGAUGCAGUGUACCCGCGGCAAGACGGAAAGACCCCGUGAACCUUUACUAUAGCUUGACACUGAACAUUGAGCCUUGAUGUGUAGGAUAGGUGGGAGGCUUUGAAGUGUGGACGCCAGUCUGCAUGGAGCCGACCUUGAAAUACCACCCUUUAAUGUUUGAUGUUCUAACGUUGACCCGUGAUCCGGGUUGCGGACAGUGUCUGGUGGGUAGUUUGACUGGGGCGGUCUCCUCCUAAAGAGUAACGGAGGAGCACGAAGGUUGGCUAAUCCUGGUCGGACAUCAGGAGGUUAGUGCAAUGGCAUAAGCCAGCUUGACUGCGAGCGUGACGGCGCGAGCAGGUGCGAAAGCAGGUCAUAGUGAUCCGGUGGUUCUGAAUGGAAGGGCCAUCGCUCAACGGAUAAAAGGUACUCCGGGGAUAACAGGCUGAUACCGCCCAAGAGUUCAUAUCGACGGCGGUGUUUGGCACCUCGAUGUCGGCUCAUCACAUCCUGGGGCUGAAGUAGGUCCCAAGGGUAUGGCUGUUCGCCAUUUAAAGUGGUACGCGAGCUGGGUUUAGAACGUCGUGAGACAGUUCGGUCCCUAUCUGCCGUGGGCGCUGGAGAACUGAGGGGGCUGCUCCUAGUACGAGAGGACCGGAGUGGACGCAUCACUGGUGUUCGGGUUGUCAUGCCAAUGGCACUGCCCGGUAGCUAAAUGCGGAAGAGAUAAGUGCUGAAAGCAUCUAAGCACGAAACUUGCCCCGAGAUGAGUUCUCCCUGACCCUUUAAGGGUCCUGAAGGAACGUUGAAGACGACGACGUUGAUAGGCCGGGUGUGUAAGCGCAGCGAUGCGUUGAGCUAACCGGUACUAAUGAACCGUGAGGCUUAACCUU